UACGUAGGUGACAAGCGUUAUCCGGAUUUAUUGGGCGUAAAGCGCACGCAGGCGGUCUUUCAAGUCUGAUGUGAAAUCUCUCGGCUUAACCGGGAGCGGUCGUUGGAAACUGAAGGACUUGAGGCGAUGAGAGGGGUGUGGAAUUCCCGGUGUAGUGGUGGAAUGCGUAGAUAUCGGGGGGAACAUCAGUGGCGAAAGCGGCACCCUGGCAUUAGCCUGACGCUCAUGUGCGAAAGCGUGGGGAGCGAACGGG
rnacentral:rRNA from 1 species